CCCAUACAGGCAGUCCUGCAGGAGCUUCCUACAUGUUAAUUCAGUGCUUACAAAAUAAGCCUGCCUGUCCUCCCUGGAGACCAUUUUUUUUUCAUCAGUGGAAAGACAGUUACAGCCCUUGCUGAACAUGCCCAAUGCAUCUGCACACCCCAGCACACAGGGACCUGGGCAGCCUCAACCCCAUUGUGCUGCUGGUACAUUGAGAGGUUUGGAGAUACGCCGUUGGAACCAGGGUUUUGACAUCUCCCAUCCACAGGGUCCUUUGGAAUGAACCCACCAUGUUUAGGUGUUUUCAUUCAAGUGCACCUGAAGAACCCAACCUGAAUUAACCAGUCUGACUAGGCAGUUUUUAGAUAAAAGCAAAGGCCAGGAGACAUUUGUGUUUUUGCUGCUGCUCAGCAAUGCCCACUGGGAACCUCAUGCUGCUAUUCACUGAAAGCAAUAGGAAACAGUCCCAGAGAAUUAGCCCCUGCUCUAGCUGGAUCCCUCCUGCCCAUUUAUCAGAGGAUGCCUGAUGAUAUUAGCAACAGCUGAGCAGUACUGGUUCAUCUCCUAUGGUUUAUAUGCAACUACAGAAGAGGCAGCUCAUGACCAGCCACUGCUGAAAGUGGUGCCUGCUCUGUCAUGUUCAUCCUUGCCAUGCUGCCAGCACCCACCGGCAAUGUCUUUCUUCGAUCACAGGGAAAGGAGCCAUGCCAAAAGGUAA
rnacentral:lncRNA from 14 species